GGUUUCUCUGUGUAUCUUUGGAGCCUAUCCUGGCACUCGCUCUGUAGACCAGGCUGGCCUUGAACUCAGAGAUUCGCCUGCCUCUGCCUCCCGAGUGCUGGGACUAAAGGCAUGCACCACCAAUGCCCG
rnacentral:miRNA from 1 species